CCUACGGGAGGCAGCAGUGGGGAAUAUUGGGCAAUGGGCGCAAGCCUGACCCAGCAACGCCGCGUGAAGGAAGAAGGCUUUCGGGUUGUAAACUUCUUUUGUCAGGGAAGAGUAGAAGACGGUACCUGACUACUAAUCCACGGCUAACUACUUGCCAGCAGCCGCGGUAAUACGUAGGUGGCAAGCGUUGUCCGGAUUUACUGGGUGUAAAGGGCGUGUAGCCGGGUUGACAAGUCAGAUGUGAAAUCCUGCGGCUUAACCGCAGAACUGCAUUUGAAACUGUUGAUCUUGAGUACUGGAGAGGCAGACGGAAUUCCUAGUGUAGCGGUGAAAUGCGUAGAUAUGAGGAGGAACACCAGUGGCGAAGGCGGAUUGCUGGACAGUAACUGACGCUGAGGCGCGAAAGCGUGGGGAGCAAACAGGAUUAGAUACCCCGGUAGUC
rnacentral:rRNA from 1 species